CACCAUGAGAGCAUCUCUCUCACUCUCUUCUCCUCUAACCUUUGAUGAAUCCAGCUCUCUUUCUCCUUUCUCCUCUCACUAGAUUGGAUCUUGAUGCAGGUGCAUGUUGGUCCAAGCAUGGAGAAGGUUGAGCAAUCCUCAGAUCUGAAACUCUUGACCAAAAUCCAAAUCGAGUGAUUCAAAUUUCCACAGAUAGGUAUUGAAAAGAUCUACAACGUGGCAUUGGUCUCAUCCUCAAAUUCGUUACGGAUUUUGCAUGAUCAAAAUCUGGUCAGAUCUGACUUUGUCGAAUUAAACCAGGAGCUUGGAGACGAAUUUUUGAAUGAAACCAACUGGAUGCGAACAAUUCCGGAGAAGAAGUGGAAUCGGACGAGGAUUUUAUUUAUAUAUGUUGUUGGGAUUCUUAUAUUGAUGAAGUUGAAGAAGUACAGGGACAAAUAAGCCAAGGCAAGCCAUCUUUUGAUCUCUGAUUUGGUGUCUAGUUGGAUGUCAUUUGUUGAUGUCCAAAGCACCUUAUUUCUAUGUGUGUUAUUCUCUCUAUUUAUGCCAUCUAUGUGUGAUUGCAAGUGGGGUAUUCCCUAUUGGUGAUACUCCACUAUUGUCCUUGUGUUAUGGGAUGCAUGGUAUCAUAGCCGUGCUAUUCCACUUGGUUAUCUUGUGUGCUCAACAUGAGCAUGCUCCAUCUCAAGAUAGUAACUUACAUCACACCCACCACUUGUGUAGUAUAGAGGUAUCAAUGUCAUGAUCUUGGUGUAUUCUCAACUUGAGAGGAGUAUGCCGUGUACCCAUUGGAGAGUAUGUUGGAUAGUGAUACUCCACUAUCUAAGUUAUAUUUUUAGCACCACCAAUCUGAAAGUAUAAUCCUUCUUGUGUUGUCUUAAUACAUGCUUACCUUAAGCAAGUAUGAUCCACUCCAUUACCACCUUUUUACACCGUCUAUGGCGUGAUGACUCUCAUCUCGGCCGUAGUGCAAUAGUAGUUCAACUCAUGAAACUAUAGGUUGGGAACCCCUCAAGGCUUACCUUGUUGUAAAUGUUUUAUGAAAACCUUGGGUAAGUUAACUCUACCCGAGAGAAGGUUUUUGGAAGAGCAAAUGUUUGAACAAGGUUGUUCGGAGAAAUAUGGUGGUUGUUGGCAAGUAAAGGAAAUGUGGGUGAAAUGUUUUUCAAAGGAGCACUGCGUAUAAGUGUACACCAGCCCAACUUUUAUCGCGCAACCACUCUACCCUGGUGUGGGACGGGGCUUAGCCCGUAGUUUGUUGAAGCUGGCAGGAGCACCCUUCACAACUUUCUAGGGAGGGUCAUGACGACCUCCGACGCCGGGUUGCGCUCUGGAGGAGGCAAUACACUGUCUUA